GUGAGGUCGCUUCUUUACGGUUCUGUCCCCUAGGCCCCUUCCUUCCAUAAGACCUACUCAGGACUCCACUGGGCUGCUGACUACUCACCCUCCCCUCAGGUCAUCUCCUGACCCGUACACAGUUAUGUCCACCCAGGGUCUGCUUGGACACCUGUGCCUGAUGUUCACCAGGGGCCAGAUGUCGUCCUCAGGCCUGAUGUCCACCUAGGGCCUGAUGACUGCCUUGGCCUAUGUCCCUCUGGGGGCCUUGUGUUCACCUGGGGACUGUAUCCAGCUGGGGCCUGAUGGCCUACUGGGUCUUGUUGUUCACCUAAGGCCUUGUGUCCACCUGGGGACUGGUGAUCACCUGGGGCCUGGGUGUCCACCUGAGGCCAGAGGUGCACCUAAGGCCUGAGUUUUCACCUGGGCCUGAUGAUCACCUGGGGACUGGGUGUGUGCCUUGGGUCUUUUCCCUUUUCCUGAACAGGGCUUGCAGUUUCCAAACCAGACACAAUCUCCCAGUUGGAGAAAGAAAAAGGAUCCUAGAUGAUAGUGAGACAAAUUUCAGGAAACUCCAUCCAAAUAAGUAAAUGAGAAUGAGGACAGGAUUCAUUGCAUGGUGGCAUGUGCCUGCAGUCCCAGCUACUCAAGAGGCUGAGGUGGGAGGAUCGCUUGAACUCAGGAGUUGAAGGCUGCAGUGGGUGAGGAUCACAACACUGAAUUCCAGCUGAGGUGACAGAAUGAGACCCUGUCUCUCUAAAAAACAAGCAAGCAAACAAACCAAAAACCACAGACAAACCAGACCCCUCUUAGCAGAAUACUUCCAUGAGGUAAUAAAAGGUUUAAUUUAUUUCAGAAGUUUCUAGAUUUUAUUGUCUCUAUUUAGCCAAAGCCACAAGAAAAGUCAAAUUCAUAUCUUUAAAUGCUUUCAUUAUCAAUCAAGAAAGAAGAAAGUGAAACGAACAAACAAUUUUACUCAAGAAACUAGUGAGAAAUCAAAGAAAUGUCCAAGAAGUAGGAGACAAGAAUUAAUCAAAACAGAUUAACAGUGGAAUAAAUAAAUGAAUCCAACUGGUUCUUUGUAAUGGAAUGUAGAAAGACAUACUCUAUUCUUCUGGAUAGGAAGAUGAAAUAUCAUAAUCAUAUCAAUGCAAGUUUUAUGCAUGCUCAAACAUGUAUAAACUAAGAAAAAAUCUGAAAGGACAGACAGCAAAAUGUUUGCAGUUUUUUUCCUCCAAGUGGUAAGAUUAAAGUCCAUGAAAUAAGGUGGGGAAGAUGUUUUGAACCUCUCUCAGCAGCAGAUCCCUAAAUCACAGACCCAGAACUUGGAGGAAACAGGAAACAGGAGGCCAUCUCUGCACCUCUCCAGCACUGCUCUGGUUGGUGGGCAGAAUAUCAUACAAUCAUCACGAUUCUUAUAUCAAAAACCAAAUUCUAGACUGAUUAAAUAAUUAUUUUUUUAAAUGAGAAAAGUUAUCGUUUAUUUGAUCUUGGGCUAGGGAAGAUAUUUCCAAGCAAAAAGGGUAAAAAGAAGGAAAAAGAAAUGAUUAACAGAUUGGAAGGCAAUAACAAUAUAAUAUCAAGUGCUGGCAAGAGCUCAGAGAAGUGUGUGUUCUCAUGACUGCUGGAACAAAUUGGUAUAAUAUUUCUGAAGGGCAAUCUGGCUGAAUAUGUUAGAAGUCUUUAAAAUAUUUAUACUCUGACUCAGUAAUUCAACAUCUAGAAAUUUUUCCUAAGUAAGUAAUAAGAAAGAGUUGAAAAAAGUAUUUGAAUAUUGAAAGACUGGAAAGAACAUAAAGGUUCAAUAAUACAUAUAUGUUCAACAACAGGGGACUAGUAAAUAUGAAUUAUUUAUAUGAUAAAAUACUAUCUAACCUUAAAAUAAUGUUUUAAAUAAUAUUUAAUGAUGAGAAUAUGCUGAGAAAAGUUUAAUCAUUUUAAAAAAGUUACAUGCAAAAUUAAAGUUAAUAACAUGUACAAGAUUAUUCUAAUUUUUUUUUUUUUUGAGAUGCAGUCUCACUGUUGUCACCUGGGCUGGAGUGCAAUGGAGUGAUCUCGGCUCACUGCAGCCUCCACCUCCCAGGUUCCAGCAAUUCUCCUGCCUCAGUCUCCUGAGCAGCUGAGAUUGUAGGCACCCGCCACCAUGCCCGGCUAAUUUUUGCAUUUUUAGUAGACACGGGGUUUCACCAUGUUGGUCAGGCUGGUCUCGAAUGCUGGCCUUGCUGGGGUGCCGUGGAGUGGGGCCCCGCCCUGGUGAGUUGUUCACUGGGACCACCUUUCUGGAAUGCUGGAAGGCGGCGUGGCAGGACCCACCGAAUGCCUUCAAAAGCCAGUGGUCCAUGCCUCUGUCUCCUUCGUUAGACUCUUCCAGAAGAGACUGGUCAGAGGUGCAGCACAGAUGAACCUACAAAGCUGUUCAUCAAAGCAUCACUUACAAUGGUGAAAAGGCAGAAGAAUCACUGAAUUCCACCAAGGUGGAGCAGCCGAGGAAA
rnacentral:lncRNA from 1 species